GUUUCCUCUUUCGGAUUUGUUAUGGGAUUUUAUUGGCCAUGUGUUGGGAUUGGCGCGAAAAGCGUAGCUUUUUUUUGGCUCUGUUCCGUUGCUAAUUUGUUUACCUGCGAGAACCGGGGAGAGAAAUCGCUCUUGUUUAUUUUCAACAGCAUUUUUGGUACCAGUUCGAGAAUAACGAAAACAACGACAGGUAAGCAACAAUUUAGUUUCGUUUUCAAAUUUCAAUACUGUUUCCAAGCAGACCAGCGGAAAUUUAAAGAAAUCUGUAUAUUUUUGGGGUCGCGAGUUUUCAAUUCAUGGAAACACGAGUACGUAUACAGCAGAAACGUGUUGAAAGGCUCGCCAGUAAAAUGUUUUUGCAUAAUUUCCAGAAUCAAAAGUGGAGGGGGGAAAAAGUGGUAAAUCAAAUCAAAUGUUUAACACAUGGAGCCGUGAGUCUCGAAUGGCAAAUGAAGCAAAAAUAAUUAUUCUGAUGGCCAGAAAAAAAUGGCACAAAGUGGCACACUGAAAUUUCAAUGGACCGUUGGUUGAAUGAACAGAAAAGUUGUUACAAAAAGGUGCACAUUCCUCUUGCCCCUUGCCCCAAAAAACCCAUAAACCAUUUACCGAUGCCCAUAA
rnacentral:sRNA from 1 species